AUUGAACGCUGGCGGCAGGCCUAACACAUGCAAGUCGAGCGGAUGAAGGGAGCUUGCUCCUGGAUUCAGCGGCGGACGGGUGAGUAAUGCCUAGGAAUCUGCCUGGUAGUGGGGGAUAACGUCCUGAAACGGGCGCUAAUACCGCAUACGUCCUGAGGGAGAAAGUGGGGGAUCUUCGGACCUCACGCUAUCAGAUGAGCCUAGGUCGGAUUAGCUAGUUGGUGGGGUAAAGGCCUACCAAGGCGACGAUCCGUAACUGGUCUGAGAGGAUGAUCAGUCACCCUGGAACUGAGACACGGUCCAGACUCCUACGGGAGGAAGCAGUGGGGAAUAUUGGACGAUGGGCGAAAGCCUGAUCCAGCCAUGCCGGGUGUGUGAAGAAGGUCUUCGGAUUGUAAAGCACUUUAAGUUGGGAGGAAGGGCAGUAAGUUAAUACCUUGCCGUUUUGACGUUACCAACAGAAUAAGCACCGGCUAACUUCGUG
rnacentral:rRNA from 1 species